GAGUUUGAUCAUGGCUCAGGAUGAACGCUAGCGGGAGGCCUAACACAUGCAAGCCGAGCGGUAGAGAUCUUUCGGGAUCUUGAGAGCGGCGUACGGGUGCGGAACACGUGUGCAACCUGCCUUUAUCUGGGGGAUAGCCUUUCGAAAGGAAGAUUAAUACCCCAUAAUAUACUGAAUGGCAUCAUUCGGUAUUGAAAACUCCGGUGGAUAGAGAUGGGCACGCGCAAGAUUAGAUAGUUGGUGAGGUAACGGCUCACCAAGUCUACGAUCUUUAGGGGGCCUGAGAGGGUGACCGGCCACACUGGGACUGAGACACGGCCCAGACUCCUACGGGAGGCAGCAGUAGGGAAUCUUCCACAAUGGGCGAAAGCCUGAUGGAGCAACGCCGCGUGA
rnacentral:rRNA from 1 species